rnacentral:rRNA from 1 species
GACGAACGCUGGCGGCGUGCUUAACACAUGCAAGUCGAACGGAAAGGCCCUGCUUUUGUGGGGUGCUCGAGUGGCGAACGGGUGAGUAACACGUGAGUAACCUGCCCUUGACUUUGGGAUAACUUCAGGAAACUGGGGCUAAUACCGGAUAUGAGCUCCUGCUGCAUGGUGGGGGUUGGAAAGUUUCGGCGGUUGGGGAUGGACUCGCGGCUUAUCAGCUUGUUGGUGGGGUAGUGGCUUACCAAGGCCUUGACGGGUAGCCGGCCUGAGAGGGUGACCGGCCACAUUGGGACUGAGAUCCGUCCCAGACUCCUACGGGGGGCAGCAGUGGGGAAUAUUGCACAAUGGGCGGAAGCCUGAUGCAGCAACGCCGCGUGCGGGAUGACGGCCUUCGGGUUGUAAACCGCGUUCGCCUGUGACGAAGCGUGAGUGACGGUAAUGGGUAAAGAAGCACCGGCUAACUACGUG